ACUUCGGUGCCAUCAGACAUCACUUGGGGAUGUUAGCAGCAGAAAGCCAUUUCCAGUUUUACGCUUAAUCUGAAAAGCCACUCGAGUGUCCCUUGCCCCUCACUCUCCUAAAAUGACUUUCAGAAAACGUGAAAAGAAUCUGGUUUUGAUUUCUUCUGUCAACUGUGACUUGCAGCACAACCCAGGAGUCUCAGCAGAAACAGAAGCAGGUCCACUUCAGCAACAAUGUUGCAGGAGCACAGAACCCCACUCUAAAACACAUGCCAGGAAUAUAAAGAGCACCACACUUUUGUGUGUUUUUAAGCUCAACACAAGGAAAUAGAAAGUUAUUGAGAACACUGACUUUCAACUGCGGCAACUCUGCUUGUUUGA